CACGUAGGGGGCUAGCGUUGUUCGGAAUUACUGGGCGUAAAGCGCACGUAGGCGGAUACUUAAGUCAGGGGUGAAAUCCCGGGGCUCAACCCCGGAACUGCCUUUGAUACUGGGUAUCUCGAGUCCGGAAGAGGUGAGUGGAAUUCCGAGUGUAGAGGUGAAAUUCGUAGAUAUUCGGAGGAACACCAGUGGCGAAGGCGGCUCACUGGUCCGGUACUGACGCUGAGGUGCGAAAGCGUGGGGAGCAAACAGG
rnacentral:rRNA from 1 species